rnacentral:lncRNA from 1 species
CGGCCGGUUCCGCGCGACCCCCGCCCCUUCCCGGACUCCCCAGCCGAGGCGAGGGGCGGGGGCGCUGGGGACCCCGAGAGAGGGCGUGGGGGAUUGACGGAGGAGCGCUGAGAUCUCCAGCAUUCCCGGACUCGGACUGCUUGCUGAGGCUGCAGUCGAGAUUUGGGGCUGUCUCGUCUUUCCGGGCUUGAACAUAAAAUUCUCGCCCAUGGCGCAGUGGAAAGCUUUGAAGUCCGAGGUUGUGGGAUCAGAGUUGCCCCCUCGGGGGAUAAGUGACCUUGGAAAGGUCACUUCCCUUUACCCAGCCUGGUAAAAUGAACUGGGGAUGGAGAGGUGGGGGGAGGCGUAAUGGUUGCAGCAGUGUCAUCAGGUUUGUGAGGGGAGACCGUCCCUCACCUUCUAACUACCCCCCUACCCCAUGACAUAGUUGGAAUGUUAGUGAAGUUCUUUGAGGACCCCUACAAUUCUGACCCCCAGUAACUGGAUUUGUGUCUCUUUGCGCCUUGCUCAUAUUAGGCGUUUAAUUAACUUUAGGUAACUGAUUAUUGAAUGAAUCCCAGGCAAAUUACCUUCGGAGUUCACCUUCAUAAAUCCGGACCCCCGCAAUUCCUUUUAUAGGCGGAAGGAGGAAUAUUGCGAUGAUUAAUAAUCGCGCAGCAGGGUUGCUGAUGUAAAGCGAUUUGCAGAUGUAAAGGGCAAUAAGCAUUCCUAGGAGGAAUCCAGCGAGAUUCCAGAAGUCUCCGAGGGAGCCGUGGCCAAGUCGACAGCAGAAGGCAUGAGUAACCUGAAGCCAUGGAAACCCCAUUGGAACGUCUUUUCAUGGCUGAAUAUGAAGGCAGCUCAGACCGAGAAGACUGGUGCCCACCGCUCGCCUCCGGGCAUCCCUCCUGGCGGAGUUGGGAAGUCUGGGAUCCUUCGCCUCUCUCUCUGAUCGUGCGGAGCCAUAGCUGCAGAAGCAGCAGCUCUGCCCCCUGCUGGACACGUGAGGCAGCCCGCACUUUUCCUGUUCCAGAUGCAGCGCCCUUGUGGUGCUGGGGGGAAGAGAUUUUUUGGCUCACUCUGAUGGAAACAGCAAAACUGGGCGGAAUAAAAAUCCCAGGUUUUUUUUCUCUCUAGUUUAUUUCUGAGGAUCUGAUCUAUUUGGAUGCAGAAAACAUUUCUGUUGUUUCUCUUGCCUGGACGGCUUUUUUCCUUCCUGCUAGCCAAACCCGGCCCCUUUCAAGCCCUGUUUCAGAGUCCACCUCCUCCAAAACGCCCUUUCUGACUCUCCUCUCCUAUGUGAAUGUUUUGAAAUACAGCUAUGCACAGACCCGGCCCACGGAGUGCACACUCACAUACUGGCUUUACUGUUGUGUCCUUGAGGGUGGGGGCCAGGUUUGUGUGGCCUUUGUGUUCACAGACCCCGCCCGUAAGGUCCAGCACAGAGCUGGGGAUGAAACCUGCUGGCAAGCCCUUGUUGAUUAAUGGAUUAAUUAAUCAAUUAGUUUCUACGGAAGCAACUCCAAGCCUUUGCUUUGAUAAAUCUUCCUCUUAGCUCUUUGGGGGAAUCUAGAUAGUGAUGUAAUUCAAUAUAGCCUUGCACAAUAAGUAGUUUCACAAAGCAGUUUCACAAGAGAACACCACCACCACCCAGAGAGGGAUGAGGAAGUUUGGAGUGGUCUGUUAGAAAGAUGAGGAGGAGGGUGGCGAUGUGGGAAGGAUGAAGAAUUAGGAGAGGGGAUCUCUGCUCCAGGGUUCAGCGACGCAGCACAGCCUCUAAAGCCAGGUUUAUAUCCAGACUCCACCACUUGCUGUGUGGCCUUGUACAAGUUUACUCUUCUCUCUGUGCCUCGCUUUUCUCCUCUGUAAAAAUAAGUGCCCAUCCUAUCGCGAUAUGAUGAGGAUAAAUUGACUUGAUAUUUGCAAAGUGCUAGGACAGUGUCUGGCACAUAGUAAGUGCUAUAUAACAGUUUGUAAAUGAGUUUUCCAGCUUAGCUGUCUUGUAAAUGGAAUGGGGGAAGAUUAUAUGAUCUCUCAGUUCUCUCCCGUGCUGACCUUCCGGGGCAGUGCAUGAGCUUUGCGGUCAGACAGGUCUGGGUUGACUCCUGUCUCUUUUAGCACCUGCAUGACCUGGGGCAGAUGGCUCUCCUUGGAGCCUCAGUUUUCUCUUCUGUGAAGUGGGGAUAAUUGUGUCUACCUCAAAAGACUUGUGUGCAUUCCGUGCUUGUAAAAUGCCUGGCAUGUAAGAAGCUCAAUAAACAGAAGCUCUGAUUAUUAUUAUCUAUGAGAAGAGAGCUGUAGAUAAAGGAGAAUAGAGUCUCUAAAAUCUUUGAGGUUUCAAGAAAGAUUGAACGUAUUGAAUAGCAAUGAGCUCAGCUCAAUUCACGGAGUUUGGGGGUGGGACGGUGGGCCCUGAUCUGGGCCCUGACCAGAUAGCACAACAUCAGAAGAAACCAGGAAUGGUGUGACUCACACAUCAGCUCUAGGAACAUUUUCUGCCCGAG